rnacentral:rRNA from 1 species
GAUGAACGCUGGCGGCGUGCCUAAUACAUGCAAGUCGAGCGAACGGACGAGAAGCUUGCUUCUCUGAUGUUAGCGGCGGACGGGUUAGUAACACGUGGAUAACCUACCUAUAAGACUGGGAUAAAUUCGGGAAACCGGAGCUAAUACCGGAUAAUAUUUUGAACAGCAUGGUUCAAAAGUGAAAGACGGUCUUUCUGUCACUUAUAGAUGGAUCCGCGCUGCAUUAGCUAGUUGGUAAGGUAACGGCUUACCAAGGCAACGAUGCAUAGCCGACCUGAGAGAGUGAUCGGCCACACUGGAACUAAGACACGGUCCAGACUCCUACGGUAGGCAGCAGUAGGGAAUCUUCCGCAAUGGGCGAAAGCCUGGCGGAGCAACGCCGCGUGAGUGAUAAAGGUCUUCGGAUCGUAAAACUCUGUUAUUGGGGAAGAACAUAUGUGUAAGUAACUGUGCACAUCUUGACGGUACCGAAUCAGAAAGCCACGGCUAACUACGUG